ensembl:lncRNA
GUGAGAAUGUGUGUAAAUAAAAUGGCAAUGGUUUUAUGGUGCCACAAGAUGGCAGUAUUAUAUCUAUUAUAACUAGGCACUAUAUUCCACCCACAUGCAGUAAGUAGAAAAUAAUUAUUCCAGAGCAUUCACAAGGGAAACAAAUUGCCUUUAACUUUUUCUUUUGCUUUCAGCUUGUUUAUUUUCAUCUUUAUCCCAGUUGCAUGAAGUUUAUUACAAUUUUCUCAUCACUGACACUAAUAAUUUGUUUCCCGUUUUCUACCAGGUUUUAGAAAAACAUGAGAAAAAUGAACAAACAUGCUGUUUGGACAAAGUCGAGUAAGUGUUCACAGAAUCUCCUGGACUACAGCCUGUGGAUUCACCAGUAGAAAACGUUCCCGCGAGGACACUGCUCUAAGGGAACCCACAACUGCUCCUGCGGAAGCUGAAAGUCACCUGUCAAGAGAGGAGCUUCCCACCCUGGUGUUUCUUCUGGGUUUUGCAUCCAGAUUGGGUUUUCCUCCCUCAGCCCCGGGGAGGGCACGGACCUUCUGCCGCCGGUUCCAGCGGCUCAGGCACCGGGGAUGCAGUGCCUGGCCCGGGGUGUCCCGCAGCAGAUGUGGGGAGAUUUCCUUCUUCAUGUUUCCCUGACGGUGGGAAGGAAGGCUCGAGUCAGUAGCGAACUCUGCAGGGGGGUUUCAAAAUAAUUUUCUACCGGCUGAAUGCUUGCCACCUCUGGUCUUUGUAAUGAAGGAGUCUUUUCUGAUCCACAUUUUCCUGAAGUGGUGCUAACCGUCCCCAUCUUACUACUGCUACCGUGGCUGCUGCUACGACUACGAUCACUACCGUUGCCGCUUCACUGUCACUUGUGUCCGUCUGAGGAACUCCUCCAGCGGUGGCAGUGUUCUCCUUUUCAAUAACGCUGUGGCUCCCAGGAGCGCUGCCCUGCCAAGGACCCGCGUGUUCUCACAGGCGCUGCGGGACAAGGCGUUCAGCAGCCCACGGAGGGGACGGCUCUGGAAGGAGCCUCUGUGCGGGCCAAGCGCACGAACCGGACGUCUGGCUUGGGCGGGCCGGAUUGGUACCAGCAACGUGGCAGCGGAGCCCCCACACGAGUGUCUGAAGUGUUCUGGAUGGUUGGGAGAGGAGAGGUGGUUUUCCUUCGUUCCUUGGUGGCUCUGAUGCAUCCAGUUACCUCCUCCUGGCCGAGCUGCAGAGGACAGACUCUGCCUCUGCCCUCUGUGCCCGUGAGACACGCGGUGGCUACGAGGCCUCUUCAGCUGCACCCAACUUCACAGGUGACCGUGGCAGUGAGAAACUGUAUUUCCUGAGUGGAUGCCUGCUUACACCUCUAAUUUUAAUCUUUGGAAGAAUGUAACAGAGGACUCCGAAAGUGAAUCCUAGUAUUUCUGAACCACUGACUACUCUCUUUUUCUCUCUUUCUUCUGCUUUCCCUCCUCCUUCUGCUUAUUUGUACUUCCAAGAUCCCCCUAAGAGUUGAAGAUAGAAUUUGCUUUUGGGGGAGGCUCUUUAUUCAGAGCAAGGAUCCCUUGGCGAGUACUUUUGUUUAUGCAAAAUAGUAAGUCAUGUACUCAUUCGUUUAUCCCUGGGAGGUUCUGAAAUUGGUGAAGCAAAUGCAAAUGUCUCAGCUUGAGAUGUUAAUGUUGCUUUUAAUUCUGUGAAAUGUGUCCUCAUUUUUGUAUUUCUCGGAGGGCUUAUUUUGAUAUUAUUUAACUUUUAAGUGGACUUAUCCAGCACAUUGGAGAGUGCAAGGUCUGUGGACUUAGGGAGUGAAGGGAAGAUCACAGAGAACCCCCCUAUUUGGAAAGGAGGAGUGAGGUCAUACAAUGAGGCUGAGGGCAGGUGGGGAAGGAGACAGACAGCAGGGAAUGCCCAGGAAAGCGCUGGAUGAUGGGCACAGACAGUAAAAUCUAACAUCCAAUUUAAAGAUUUUCUUGUGUUGCAUUGUAAUUCUUUUUUUAAACAUAUUUUUUAAUUUAAUUUUUUUAUUUCGAGAGAGAGUGUGUGAGCAGAGAAGAGGAGCAGAGGGAGAGAGAGAGAAUCUUAAGCAGGCUCUACACUCAGCUCAGAACCUGACACAGGGCUUGAUCCCAUGACCCUGGGAUCAUAACCUGAGCUGAAAUUGAGAGUUGGAGGUUCAUCCAAUGGAGCCACCCAGGCACCCCUUGGAUUGUAACUCUUGUAUGCUAUCCCAAAGUCUUUGGCAUUUGUUCAACAUUGUAGCCUAUUCAUUUUGAGUAUAGAGGGAAAUGCAGAAGUUUUUUCUCAUAUAUGAGUUCCUCUUUCUCUACAUUUUAGGAGAUUUAUCUGUUUCCAUGUUUUUUUCUCCUUAGCAUUGGAUGUUUAUGUUCUUUUAUCAGCUAAUUUUGAGUCAGUCUUUUGGCAUACACAGAACAAGAGGGACUUAGCGGUGGUGACUACAAAAUAAAGGAAAAAGGGAUGGUUUUCUCUCA